UACAGAGGUCUCAAGCGUUGUUCGGAUUCAUUGGGCGUAAAGGGUGCGUAGGCGGCGCGGUAAGUCGGGUGUGAAAUCUUGGAGCUUAACUCCGAAACUGCAUUCGAUACUGCCGUGCUUGAGGACUGGAGAGGAGACUGGAAUUUACGGUGUAGCGGUGAAAUGCGUAGAUAUCGUAAGGAAGACCAGUGGCGAAGGCGGGUCUCUGGACAGUUCCUGACACUGAGCACGAAGGCCAGGGGAGCAAACGGG
rnacentral:rRNA from 1 species